GGCUCAGAACGAACGCUGGCGGCGUGCCUAACACAUGCAAGUCGAACGUGAUUAGAGAGCUUGCUCUCUAUGAAAGUGGCGCACGGGUGAGUAACGCGUAGAUAAUCUGCCUGAUGAUCGGGGAUAACACUUCGAAAGGGGUGCUAAUACCGGAUAAGCUCACGGAGUCCUUGGACUCUGCGAGAAAAGGGGGGGACCUUCGGGCCUUCUGUCAUCAGAUGAGUCUGCGUACCAUUAGCUAGUUGGUAGGGUAAAGGCCUACCAAGGCGACGAUGGUUAGCUGGUCUGAGAGGAUGAUCAGCCACACUGGAACUGAGACACGGUCCAGACUCCUACGGGAGGCAGCAGUGGGGAAUUUUGCGCAAUGGGGGAAACCCUGACGCAGCAACGCCGCGUGAGUGAUGAAGGCUCUUGGGUCGUAAAGCUCUGACAGAGGGAAAGAAAUGUAUUGCGGCUAAUACCUGCGAUACUUGACGGUACCCUCAAAGGAAGCACCGGCUAACUCCGUGCCAGCAGCCGCGGUAAUACGGGGGGUGCAAGCGUUGUUCGGAUUUAUUGGGCGUAAAGCGCGUGUAGGCGGUUUGGUAAGUCUGAUGUGAAAGCCCUGGGCUCAACCCGGGAAGUGCAUUGGAUACUGUCAGACUUGAAUACGGGAGAGGGCAGUGGAAUUCCUAGUGUAGGAGUGAAAUCCGUAGAUAUUAGGAGGAACACCGGUGGCGAAGGCGGCUGCCUGGACCGAUAUUGACGCUGAGACGCGAAAGCGUGGGUAGCAAACAGGAUUAGAUACCCUGGUAGUCCACGCCGUAAACGAUGAGAACUAGGUGUUGCGGGUAUUGACCCCUGCAGUGCCGUAGCUAACGCAUUAAGUUCUCGGCCUGGGGAGUACGGUCGCAAGACUAAAACUC
rnacentral:rRNA from 1 species